rnacentral:rRNA from 1 species
AUGGCGACCAUCAGGGUCAUGGCAUUUUUUGCUGCAACCACAGAUCACAAAGCUGCAACCACUAUUGGUUUUUGCUAUGAUCAACGGAACUUUUUGCUACGUCCAUCCAAGGCGGAGCUACAACCCGCGCCGGAGGCGGUGAUGUCUUUGUUGCAACCGCCUUUGGUUUUUGCUACGACCAGCAAACUUUUUGCUACAUCCAUCCACGGCGGAGCUGCGACCCGCGGCGGCGGCCGUGACGUUUUUGCUACAACUGGUGAAACAUUUGCUACAUCCAUCCAUUCAUGGUUGACUGGUGGCCGUUGUUUGCAGAACCCUGUGCGGCGAGGGCGACGAGUGGCGCACGGGGAUGCUGCAACCAUGAGCGUCGAUGGCAUCCGGACUGCCGGGGAAAUUGCAUCCGGUUUUGACGGGAAAGCUGCAACCGAAAUCGACGAGCAGAGAAGGUUUCUUUGGCGAGAAACGGAGGGCAAUGCUGCGAGGCGACUAGGUGUGAGCGGCCGGCGGCCGUUGCCCUCGCCGGAGAUACGCACAUGGACAUAG